GAUAAUCCACGUCGGUGGUGGAGGGGAGGCGGCGGAAGAGGCUGGCGGGGAGGUUCGCCCAUGACGUCGCCUCCAUGGCCACGGGGUGGUUCCGUGGUUGGUUGCGAUCGGAGCUCUCUCUGGAAGCAGCGGCAGCAGCUCUCGAGUUUUGAAUUUUCGGGGCUGUGCGGUGGCGUCCCUCCACUUCCCUUUUAUUGGUUGCGGGCUUGCGGCUGCGAGCCUGCGACCACUUCGCCAGCGCGUGCCGCUCUAUGUCGUCGUCGCGCCUCGGCCUCUACACUCUUGAGCCGGCACUCGCCGCGGCGGCCGGGGCGCUGUUCCGCUCCCGCUACCCGCCGCGCGCCGUCCUCCGCCGCGCGCGCGCGUUGCACGCGCUCCUCGUUGUCUCCUCCCUGCCCUCCGCGCCCACCCCCACAACCUUCCUCGUUAACCAGCUGCUCUCCCUCUACUCCCGCCUCUCCGCUCUCCCCGACGCCCUCGCCCUCCUCCGCUCCACGCCGUGCCCCUCUGUCGUGUCUUACAACACCGUCCUCUCCGCUCUCUCCCGCACCCCGAGGCACGCGCCGCACGCUUUCCGGCUCUUCCGCGGCCUGUACGCGUCCGGUCUCCGUCCCACCGCUCCCAGCCUCUGCGCCGUCCUCCGCGCCACCGGUGCGCUGCGCGACGGUCGCGCAGGCGCCGCCGCGCACUCGAAGGCCGCCUCGCUGGGUUUCCUCGCCAGCGACAUUGUGCGACCGCGCUGUUGCAGAUGUACUCAACGUGCGGGUCGCCGUGGAAUGCCAACCAGGUGUUCGACGAAAUGACAACGCGGGAUGUGGUGGCGUGGAACUGCGUGAUGCACUGCAACGUGCGGUAUGGCUAUCUUGAUCGCGCACUUGGGAAAUUCUGCCGGAUGGUGAGGGUUGGGCUGGCACCCACAGAGAGCACACUUUCGUCGGUGCUGAGUGGGUGCGGGUAUGCAGGGGACUCGUACCAUGGGCGCACACUCCAUGGAUGGGUGGUGAAAUCAGAGGAGCUCGAUCCUGAUUUGCCACUGCAGAAUGCUCUGCUGGACAUGUACUGCUGCUGUGGUGAUAUGGACACUACACUGCGUAUUUGAGAGGAUUAAGACACCAGACUUGGUGUCAUGGAAUACUAUAAUCGCUGGGUUUUCUGGCAUCGGGGAUGGAUGGAGCGCUAUGGAUGCCUUUGUGCAGCUCAAGGCUGCGCCUUUCUGUGAACUGCUUGCUCCUGAUGAGUACACAUUUGCAGCUGUGGUGUCUGCUGUUGCUGGUUUACCAGCAAAGUGUAGUGGCAAGCCGCUUCAUGCCGAAGUGAUCAAAGCUGGGUUGGAGAGCAGCGUCUUUGUAGGUUAUACACUGAUCAAUAUGUAUUUCACAAAUGAGGAACCAGGCUCUGCUCAGAUUUUGUUUGGUUCCAUUACGGUGAAAGAUGUAAUCAUGUGGACCGAGAUGGUUGCUGGCCAUUCUGCACUAGGUGAAGGAGAAUUGGCCCUGAAGGACUUUACUAGCAUGCUGGAGGAAGGGCACAUGGUAGAUAACUUCUCUCUUAGCAGUGCUUUGAAUCCCACAGCAGAUCUUGCAGACCUUAAGCCAGGGGAAAUGCUGCAUGCGCAAGCGGUAAAAAGUGGUUAUGAAAAAAAUAUUUGUCUCUGGAAGCCUUAUUGACAUGUACGCAAAAAAUGGUGCUCUCAGAGGUGCCUAUUCAUUGUUCUGCACCAUAAUGAAACCAGAUUUGAAGUGCUGGAAUUCUAUGAUAGGAGAAUAUGGCAAUCACGGGGAUUCUGAAAUGGCAUUCAAAUUACUUGGUGAGAUGAUUCGUGAUGGGCUGCAACCUGACCAUGUAACUUACAUCUCCCUCCUUUCUGCUUGUAGCCACUGCGGACUGGUUGAGAAAGGGAAGUUUUAUUGGUUUUGUAUGAUGACUGACGGUAUUGUGCCAGGGUUCAAACACUAUACUAGCAUGGUGAGUUUGUUAAGUAGGGCGGGUUUAUUGGAGGAAGCAGUUGAUUUAAUUAAUAAAUCCCCUUCUGCCAAGAGAUAUCCUGAGCUAUGGAGAAUUCUGCUAAGCUCCUGUGUGACAUUUAAAGAUUUGUCCAUUGGUGUUCAUGCUGCUGAACAGGCACUGGAACAGGACCCAGAUGAUAUCUCGACGCAUAUACUGCUAUCUAACCUUUAUGCCUCUGUAGGAAAAUGGGAUGAUGUGGCUGUAAUUAGGAAAAGGAUCAGAGGGCUGAUGAUUGAAAAGGAGCCUGGGCUGAGCUGGAUUGAGAUUAAAAAUACGGUCCAUGUGUUCUCUGCAGAUGAUGAAUGCCACACUCAGAUAAAUGAUUGUCGUGACGAGUUGCUGAGAAUAAAGGGAAACAUGAAAUUGCUGGAUGGUUGUGAAAUUGAGUUGUUGUCAAAUGGCUAACUUGCCAUGAACUGAUUUCAGUUAAUAGGACUUGGCAUGCUUUCCUGUGUCGCACCAAGAAAGCUGAUGUAUAUAUAAGAUAUUGAGCAUAAGAAAUAAAAUGAGAAGUUACAUUUCAAAUACUUGAUCGACCUGCCAACGAUUGCUCAGAUUUGCUUACAAAAAGGAGCAUAAGAGAUAAAAUGGGAAGUUGCAUAUCAGUUACUCAAUCAAACUAGCCAGAAUUUUGUUCGAGAAAAAAACUAGCCAACAUUUGGUCAGAAUUGGCGGCUGCCUCUGUCGAAGACAUUAAUUGAAUACACAUUGAAGAUUAUAGGGCAAGACAUCGCUGAACAUAUCUCGACAAGUUUAAGUCUUAAUUGAGGAUCAUGUGAGGCUCCAGAACAGCCUGUCCCAGUCAAGCCUUCCUAUCAUGCUUUGUUGACAUGGAUACUAGCUGAGGCAACUGCCAACCGGUUUGGUCUACUCAGUGAUUCUGCUGAUCAUUUUGAAAGUGGUGUUCCUGGGUGGAGUCAUGUGCCUUCAUCAUUAGACUGCUGUCAUUUGUCAGGCGUCAUGAUGAUUUCUACAACAACAAUUGUAAUAAGGAUGGUAGGACUGGAUCUUUCUGGUUACGGUUUACAUGGUACUGUCUAUGUUUCUUUGGCUCAGUUGGAUCGUCCUCAGCACCUUGAGCUCUCUAACAAUUCACUACAAGUUUCAGUCCCUUUCUAAGACCCCAUUCAUCUUUCAGAAUUGGAGUUCCUUGAUCUUAAUAGCAAUAUGUUGAAUGGGCCAAUUCUCCUUUAUACAGGUGAGCAAGUCUUCCAUCAGUUCCGGUGUUAAAUCAUUAAAUGUCUCCGUCUCGGCAAACUUUUCUGGAGAGAACCUUCAGUCCCAGGAACUGCAUUUCCUAGUGGCUAGUGCGCCUUGUUAGCGAUGUUGUUGGUUCUGUUAGCGCUAUUGUCGCCUUCCAGUUCACCAGCUAUUCUCGCGCCUAGUACUCUGCUCGUGCGCGUCAGUUAGGGAGAUUAGUUAAACGUGGUUGUUAGAGUUUGUUAGCGUCAGUUAGGGAGAUUAGUUAGACGUGGUUGUUAGAAUUUGCUAGGGCUCGGUCAGCUCCUUUGGAACCUAUAAAUCCUCUGUAUAAUACAGAGGUGUGUUGAAUUCUAAUCCCUUUAACCCCUGACUGGCUGUGUUCCAAGCAUGUUACGGGAAAUAUAACUCUGCAAUAUGUUACGUACGUACCAUCUAUCUCAGUUAUUUAUCUCUCUCAUUUAAUAUUUAUCUAUUUAUUAAUUUUCUCACAUAAUGCAUGAUUUUUUUAUUAAUCACUCCAAUACAACUAAGACCGGUGCGCUCCAAGUGAGGGAGAGGACACGAGAAAGUAUGAGGAGAGAGAAAGGAAAGAAAAUAAAAUGGAAAUGAAUCUCUGAAUAAAGAAAGGCAAGCAGAGGGAGA